rnacentral:rRNA from 1 species
AGAGUUUGAUCAUGGCUCAGAACGUACGCUGGCGGCACGCCUAACACAUGCAAGUCGAACGAAGUAGCAAUACUUAGUGGCAGACGGGUGAGUAACAUGUAGGUAUCUGCCCUUUGGCCUGGAAUAACACGAGGAAACUUGUGCUAAUACCGGAUAAGUCUUUACGGAGAAAGCUUUAUGCACCAUUGGAUGAGCCCGCACUUGAUUAGUUUGUUGGUAGGGUAAUGGCCUACCAAGACUAUGAUCAAUAGCUGAUUUGAGAGGAUGAUCAGCCACAUUGGGACUGAGACACGGCCCAAACUCCUACGGGAGGCAGCAGUGGGGAAUCUUGCACAAUGGAGGAAACUCUGAUGCAGCGAUGCCGCGUGAGUGAAGAAGGCCUUUGGGUUGUAAAGCUCUUUCGUCGGGGAAGAAAAUGACUGUACCCGAAUAAGAAGGUCCGGCUAACUUCGUGCCAGCAGCCGCGGUAAUACGAAGGGACCUAGCGUAGUUCGGAAUUACUGGGCUUAAAGAGUUCGUAGGUGGUUGAAAAAGUUGGUGGUGAAAUCCCAGAGCUUAACUCUGGAACUGCCAUCAAAACUUUUCAGCUAGAGUAUGAUAGAGGAAAGCAGAAUUUCUAGUGUAGAGGUGAAAUUCGUAGAUAUUAGAAAGAAUACCAACUGCGAAGGCAGCUUUCUGGAUCAUUACUGACACUGAGGAACGAAAGCAUGGGUAGCGAAGAGGAUUAGAUACCCUCGUAGUCCAUGCCGUAAACGAUGUGUGUUAGACGUUGGAAAUUUAUUUUCAGUGUCGCAGGGAAACCGAUAAACACACCGCCUGGGGAGUACGACCGCAAGGUUAAAACUCAAAUGAAUUGACGGGGACCCGCACAAGUAGUGGAGCAUGUGGUUUAAUUCGAAGAUACGCGCAGAACCUUACCAACACUUGACAUGUUCGUCGCGACUCUAAGAGAUUAGAGUUUUCGGUUCGGCCGGACGAAACACAGGUGCUGCAUGGCUGUCGUCAGCUCGUGUCGUGAGAUGUUGGGUUAAGUCCCGCAACGAGCGCAACCCUCACUUUUAGUUGCCAUCAUUAAGUUGGGCACUCUGAAAGAACUGCCAGUGAUAAGCUGGAGGAAGGUGGGGAUGACGUCAAGUCCUCAUGGCCCUUACGUGUUGGGCUACACACGUGCUACAAUGGCAUCUACAACAGGAAGCAAAACGGCAACGUUAAGCAAAUCCCGAAAAGAUGCCUCAGUUCGGAUUGCACUCUGCAACUCGAGUGCAUGAAGCUGGAAUUACUAGUAAUCGUGGAUCAGCGUGCCACGGUGAAUGCGUUCCCGGGUCUUGUACACACCGCCCGUCACACCAUGGGAGUUGGUUCUACCUUAAGGCAAGGUUUUAAACCCUUGACCACGGUAUAGUCAGCGACUGGGGUGAAGUCGUAACAAGGUAACCGUA